rnacentral:rRNA from 1 species
UACAGAGGGGGCAAGCGUUGUUCGGAAUUACUGGGCGUAAAGGGCGCGUAGGCGGCCUUCUAAGUCGAACGUGAAAUCCCCGGGCUCAACCCGGGAACUGCGUCCGAUACUGGAAGGCUUGAAUCCGGGAGAGGGAUGCGGAAUUCCAGGUGUAGCGGUGAAAUGCGUAGAUAUCUGGAGGAACACCGGUGGCGAAGGCGGCAUCCUGGACCGGCAUUGACGCUGAGGCGCGAAAGCUAGGGGAGCAAAUGGG